rnacentral:tRNA from 1 species
GCAGGGAUGGCAGAGCGGUCUAAUGCGCCAGUCUGGAAAGCUGGUCUCGAAAGAGGCGAGGGUUCGAACCCCUCUUUCUGCG